AGGCUGUCACUGGCUCGGCCAGCAUUUAUUGCUGCGUUUACCCAGAGGGCAGUUAAGAGUCAACCACGUUGCUGUAGGUCUGGAGUCCCAUGCAGACCAGACCAGAUCGCAGUGAUCAAUGCCAAAGCCCCAUUGCCUGUGGAGAGGGUGAUGUUUGAUUUCCCUGUCCAGCUGCAAUUCAUGUGGUGAAGGUGCUCCCACAAUGUGGUUGGGUGGACAUUCAGAUGGUAAUCUCAGUAAUUGUAACGCCAAACUGUGACAAAAUUACUCAAUUCAUCAGGAGCUGGAUAUUCACAUUGUGUGGAUCUGCACUGGAACCCUUCUGUUUGCGGGACAAAUAUAUAUAAGUGACAUGGAUUAAAAUCUAAUUUGCUUUGAUGGAGAUGUGUUGAAAAUGUUUGCAG